GAUGAACGCUGGCGGCGUGCCUAAUACAUGCAAGUCGAGCGAACAGACGAGGAGCUUGCUCCUCUGACGUUAGCGGCGGACGGGUGAGUAACACGUGGAUAACCUACCUAUAAGACUGGGAUAACUUCGGGAAACCGGAGCUAAUACCGGAUAAUAUAUUGAACCGCAUGGUUCAAUAGUGAAAGACGGUUUUGCUGUCACUUAUAGAUGGAUCCGCGCCGCAUUAGCUAGUUGGUAAGGUAACGGCUUACCAAGGCAACGAUGCGUAGCCGACCUGAGAGGGUGAUCGGCCACCCGAGAACUGAGACAGGGUCCAGACUCCUACGGGAGGCAGCAGUAGGGAAUCUUCCGCAAUGGGCGAAAGCCUGACGGAGCAACGCCGCGUGAGUGAUGAAGGUCUUCGGAUCGUAAAACUCUGUUAUUAGGGAAGAACAAAUGUGUAAGUAACUAUGCACGUCUUGACGGUACCUAAUCAGAAAGCCACGGCUAACUACGUG
rnacentral:rRNA from 1 species